rnacentral:rRNA from 1 species
GACAGAGGUGCCAAGCGUUAGGCGGAAUCACUGGGCUUAAAGCGUGUGUAGGCGGAUCGUUAAGUGUCUUGUGAAAUCCCACGGCUCACCCGUGGAACGGCUGGGCAUACUGGCGAUCUUGGGCCAACUAGGGGCAACUGGAACAAGCGGUGGAGCGGUGAAAUGCGUAGAUAUCGCUUGGAACGCCAAAGGUGAAAACAGGUUGCUGGGGUUGUGCCGACGCUGAGACACGAAAGCCAGGGGAGCAAACGGG